AUACGGAGGAUCCGAGCGUUAUCCGGAUUUAUUGGGUUUAAAGGGAGCGUAGGUGGGAUAUUAAGUCAGCUGUGAAAGUUUGGGGCUCAACCUUAAAAUUGCAGUUGAUACUGGUUUCCUUGAGUACGGUACAGGUGGGCGGAAUUCGUGGUGUAGCGGUGAAAUGCUUAGAUAUCACGAAGAACUCCGAUCGCGAAGGCAGCUCACCGGGCCGGAACUGACACUGAUGCUCGAAAGUGCGGGUAUCAAACAGGAUUAGAUACCCUGGUAGUCCGCACAGUAAACGAUGAAUACUCGCUGCGUGCGAUACACGGUAAGCGGCCAAGCGAAAGCGUUAAGUAUUCCACCUGGGGAGUACGCCGGCAACGGUGAAACUCAAAUGAAUUGACGGGG
rnacentral:rRNA from 1 species